GCCUGAUCCAGCCAUGCCGCGUGUGUGAAGAAGGCCUUCGGGUUGUAAAGCACUUUCUGAUGGGAAGAAAAAACUUUACUUAAUACGUGAAGUCUUGACGGUACCAUCAGAAUAAGCACCGGCUAACUCUGUGCCAGCAGCCGCGGUAAUA
rnacentral:rRNA from 1 species